rnacentral:rRNA from 1 species
AUUGAACGCUGGCGGCAGGCUUAACACAUGCAAGUCGAGCGGGGGAAGGUAGCUUGCUACCGGACCUAGCGGCGGACGGGUGAGUAAUGCUUAGGAAUCUGCCUAUUAGUGGGGGACAACAUCUCGAAAGGGAUGCUAAUACCGCAUACGUCCUCCGGGAGAAAGCAGGGGAUCUUCGGACCUUGCGCUAAUAGAUGAGCCUAAGUCGGAUUAGCUAGUUGGUGGGGUAAAGGCCUACCAAGGCGACGAUCUGUAGCGGGUCUGAGAGGAUGAUCCGGCACGCUGGGACUGAGACACGGCCCAGACUCCUACGGGAGGCAGCAGUGGGGAAUAUUGGACAAUGGGGGGAACCCUGAUCCAGCCAUGCCGCGUGUGUGAAGAAGGCCUUAUGGUUGUAAAGCACUUUAAGCGAGGAGGAGGCUACUCUAGUUAAUACCUAGGGAUAGUGGACGUUACUCGCAGAAUAAGCACCGGCUAACUCUGUGCCAGCCGCCGCCGUAA